rnacentral:rRNA from 1 species
GGUUGGAAUAGGGGUAGAGAGAGAGAGACAAAGGAGUGUCGGUGCGUGGGUCAUGUGGGGUGGCGGCGGGCGCCGGUGGUGGAGGCGGCGGCGGCUGGCCUCUGGCCGCCGCGGCGGUGUGGUGCUGUCCGCUCGCCGGUGCCGCUCAACGGGGAUACUCAACCGCUCGCCGGUGCCACACGAUACGGACGCUCGGCCACUCGAGGGGCCACUCGCCGCCGGUGUCUCGAUGUUAGCAGCGGCCCCCCGUAUGCAACAACCGUUCUUUCCCUCCUCCGCUGCCGCUGCCGCCCCUGGCCACUGCUGCUGCUGCUGGCCGCCGCUCCUGUCGCUGUCUCCUCUGCGCGCCCCUCCACGAUGCUGCGAAGCAGGUACCGCCGCGCAGACUUUGAAAAAGAUUUUCUUCUUCUACAAGCUCCCUCCUUCUUUCCUUAGUAUGCCAAGGACUAAACAAACUAGCAUGCCACGACCAGACUGGCCGGAUUUAAACCCGGCCGCGUGGCUGCGGAUCGUGAGCGGUAAAUUCUUACCACCGUGAUCUACAGAUAUUUGACACUGGAAAUAAAUAGAGGAAUUCAUAACACAGUGGGUCUUGAGGACUUUGCGAGUA